rnacentral:rRNA from 1 species
ACGUAGGGGGCAAGCGUUGUCCGGAAUUAUUGGGCGUAAAGAGCGUGUAGGCGGCUAGUCAAGUCCGGUGUGAAAUCUCGGGGCUCAACCCCGAAACUGCAUUGGAAACUGGCUUGCUAGAGUCCGGAAGAGGAGAUUGGAAUUCCUGGUGUAGCGGUGAAAUGCGCAGAUAUCAGGAAGAACACCCGUGGCGAAGGCGGAUCUCUGGGACGGUACUGACGCUGAGACGCGAAAGCGUGGGGAGCAAACAG